AUGGACAUUCAUCCGAUGCCUAUCUAGUCAAAGCUGUGUGGACCAAAGAAGAUGACAUGGAACUAUUUAAAGUUGGUAUGGUGAGAAAUAAAACAGAUGAAAAUAUCUUAAGUGAAGGUAUGGCUCACCAUGGUUUCAAUGAGCUGCUCAGUGAGAGGCUUGGGGAGAUCAGACCUAUCAAAGACUCCAGGAAUACAUUGUGCCAGGAGCAGCAGUACCCAGAGGACCUGCCCAUGGC